rnacentral:rRNA from 1 species
GAUGAACGCUAGCGACAGGCUUAACACAUGCAAGUCGAGGGGCAGCACGGUGUAGCAAUACAUUGGUGGCGACCGGCGCACGGGUGAGUAACGCGUAUGCAACCUACCUAUCAGAGGGGAAUAACCCGGCGAAAGUCGGACUAAUACCGCAUAAAACAGGGGUUCCACAUGGAAAUAUUUGUUAAAGAUUUAUCGCUGAUAGAUGGGCAUGCGUUCCAUUAGAUAGUUGGUGAGGUAACGGCUCACCAAGUCUACGAUGGAUAGGGGUUCUGAGAGGAAGGCCCCCCACACUGGUACUGAGACACGGACCAGACUCCUACGGGAGGCAGCAGUGAGGAAUAUUGGUCAAUGGGCGAGAGCCUGAACCAGCCAAGUCGCGUGAAGGAUGAAGGAUCUAUGGUUUGUAAACUUCUUUUAUAUGGGAAUAAAGUGAGGAACGUGUUCCUUUUUGUAUGUACCAUAUGAAUAAGCAUCGGCUAACUCCGUGCCAGCCGCCGCAGUAAUAC